UGGGGAAUUUUGGACAAUGGGCGAAAGCCUGAUCCAGCAAUGCCGCGUGUGUGAAGAAGGCCUUCGGGUUGUAAAGCACUUUUGUCCGGAAAGAAAUCCUUGGCUCUAAUACAGUCGGGGGAUGACGGUACCGGAAGAAUAAGCACCGGCUAACUACGUGCCAGCAGCCGCGGUAAUACGUAGGGUGCAAGCGUUAAUCGGAAUUACUGGGCGUAAAGCGUGCGCAGGCGGUUUGCUAAGACCGAUGUGAAAUCCCGGGCUCAACCUGGGAACUGCAUUGGUGACUGGCAGGCUAGAGUAUGGCAGAGGGGGUAGAAUUCCACGUGUAGCAGUGAAAUGCGUAGAGAUGUGGAGGAAUACCGAUGGCGAAGGCAGCCCCCUGGGCCAAUACUGACGCUCAUGCACGAAAGCGUGGGGAGCAAACAGGAUUAGAUACCCUGGUAGUCCACGCCCUAAACGAUGUCAACUAGUUGUUGGGGAUUCAUUUCAUUAGUAACGUAGCUAACGCGUGAAGUUGACCGCCUGGGGAGUACGGUCGCAAGAUUAAAACUCAAAGGAAUUGACGGGGUCAUAGCUGUUUCCU
rnacentral:rRNA from 1 species